rnacentral:lncRNA from 1 species
CCACACUUGGAUACCAGCAGCGAUGGGAAGCCAUGACACCUGUGGGGCUGCUCUGCCCUGGUCUUCUCUUCAGCGCCUGGGACUAGCAAUUGUGCCCUUCCACUAUGAAUUGCCUUGGGUUACCUAGGACCCAGCAUAUUCAGGCUCAGACCCUUCCUCUAAGUUGGGACCAUUAAGGGACCCCCCCCAGAAGUGCCAGCAGGGGGGACCUCACUGAAUUGCUCCCCAGGAAUCUAAGGGCAGGCCUAUGGUGCAGGAGCCAAGGGCCUGAAGGUGUAGGCACCUGCCUGGAGGAAGAGGCUGCGCUUGGAGCUUAGCUGGGAAAGUAUCCAACUCCCACAAGGACUCGGGGCCAACACUGAAAAACCUCAAGCUCACCAAAUCUCUCUCCCCUCUCCUGUCCCUUCCCUGUGUCUGUCCUUAAAAGAAGGCAGCAUGGCAUUCUGAGUAAUGAGGUAUUCAGGGAUGACUUCUGGGAGGAAAAACAACCCCCCCCCCCGCAUGAAUGAGGGGGAAGGGGCAAACGAAGUGACACAGGGUUUCCCGUUGACAGGAACAGGAAGGAGGCAAUAUACAGACAAGUGUAUAUUGUUGUAUAGCUUCAGGAAUUUGGCUGGGUCUGCUGGGAGGUCAUCACAGCUGGGUGUGUUGACUUUCCCUCACAGGGGGAGAGGGUAGGGGAGGUCAUGGGAGCUUCACCUGAGCAGUCAGCCUUGCCUCUCAGCCGGCUGUAUCCAGUUCUGCCCUAACAGAAGUCAAGGAUGAGAGGAGGGGUUCUAUCUAUGCAGCAGAGGGAAAGCCGACAUCCCCGCUGGAUACAGGCUUUCCGGCAUGGCUACUUUAAGGCUAACCUGAAGGUGUUGCUGCUGGUGGGGAACCCGAGGACCAGGACACUCAUCUCAGUAUUCCUUGGAGAAAGCCAUUCUGAAUUUGAGAGGAAUCUCAUCCCAGCAAGGAAAAGCUGACGACUCCCUCUGCAGCAGCCUCGGAGGUUAAGGAAGGCGUCCCAAGCAAGAGCCUGACAUUUAUCUUCAGGGCUCUGCUGCUACCACCAAGAAUGUCAACCUCAGCAGGGCAUGGUGGCGCAUGCCUUUAAUUCCAGCACUUGGGAGUUAAGGCAGGCAGAUUUCUGAGUUCGAGGCCAGCCUGGUCUACAAAGUGAGCUCCAGGGGACCAGAAGCACUUCAGUAUUUCUCAAGCACCAUUGAAUGGCAGCAUCUGAAGAAGGUACAUGUACCAAAUAUACAGCGAGACAUUUUCUUAGAAGAAAAGAAACAGGAGAAAUUAAUUUUGC